rnacentral:rRNA from 1 species
CGGCGGACGGGUGAGUAAUGCCUAGGAAUCUGCCUGGUAGUGGGGGGACAACGUUUCGAAAGGAACGCUAAUACCGCAUACGUCCUACGGGAGAAAGCAGGGGACCUUCGGGCCUUGCGCUAUCAGAUGAGCCUAGGUCGGAUUAGCUAGUUGGUGAGGUAAUGGCUCACCAAGGCGACGAUCCGUAACUGGUCUGAGAGGAUGAUCAGUCACACUGGAACUGAGACACGGUCCAGACUCCUACGGGAGGCAGCAGCG